UACGUAGGGUGCAAGCGUUGUCCGGAAUUAUUGGGCGUAAAGAGCUCGUAGGCGGCUUGUCACGUCGACUGUGAAAACCCGGGGCUCAACUCCGGGCCUGCAGUCGAUACGGGCUGGCUUGAGUGCGGUAGGGGAGACUGGAAUUCCUGGUGUAGCGGUGAAAUGCGCAGAUAUCAGGAGGAACACCGGUGGCGAAGGCGGAUCUCUGGGCCUUACCUGACGCUGAGGCGCGAAAGCUAGGGGAGCAAACAGG
rnacentral:rRNA from 1 species